rnacentral:rRNA from 1 species
AACGAACGCUGGCGGCGUGGAUAAGACAUGCAAGUCGAACGGGACAGACCGAGUAGCAAUAUUUGGAAUGUUCAGUGGCGAACGGGUGCGUAACACGUGGAUAACAUUCCGGAAAGCGGGGAAUAGCCCAGGGAAACUUGGAUUAAUACCGCAUGUGGCCGCAAGGCUAAAGACGGGGACCGCAAGGCCUGUCACUUUCCGCGUGUCCCGCGGCCUAUCAGCUAGUUGGCGGGGUAAUGGCCCACCAAGGCUACGACGGGUAGCUGGUCUUAGAGGACGACCAGCCACACUGGAACUGAGACACGGCCCAGACACCUACGGGUGGCAGCAGUCGAGAAUCUUUCACAAUGGGGGCAACCCUGAUGGAGCGACGCCGCGUGGAGGAUAAGGUCUUCGGAUUGUAAACUCCUGUCAUGCGAGAACAAGGUACUCAGGCUAAUAACCUGAUUGUUUGAUGGUACCGCAAGAGGAAGAGACGGCUAACUCUGUGCCAGCCGCCGCAGUAACAC